rnacentral:rRNA from 1 species
GCUCGAGUGGCGAACGAGUGAGUAACACGUGAGUAACCUGCCCUUGACUUUGGGAUAACUUCAGGAAACUGGGGCUAAUACCGGAUAGGAGCUCCUGCUGCAUGGUGGGGGUUGGAAAGUUUCGGCGGUUGGGGAUGGACUCGCGGCUUAUCAGCUUGUUGGUGGGGUAGUGGCUUACCAAGGCUUUGACGGGUAGCCGGCCUGAGAGGGUGACCGGCCACAUUGGGACUGAGAUACGGCCCAG